UACGUAGGGUGCAAGCGUUGUCCGGAAUUAUUGGGCGUAAAGAGCUCGUAGGCGGUUUGUCGCGUCUGCUGUGAAAACUCAGGGCUUAACCCUGAGCCUGCAGUGGGUACGGGCAGACUAGAGUGUGGUAGGGGAGAUCGGAAUUCCUGGUGUAGCGGUGGAAUGCGCAGAUAUCAGGAGGAACACCGGUGGCGAAGGCGGAUCUCUGGGCCAUAACUGACGCUGAUGCACGAAAGCUAGGGGAGCAAACAGG
rnacentral:rRNA from 1 species